AAACACAACGGUCAGAAAAGGGAUUGAAACAUCCAUAAAGAGGAUUUUAAGAGUGUGUGUACCUCCUGUAGUGUGUUAAUGUCCACUCCGUCUCCUUGGAUGACUCGAAUGUAAGGAGGCAACACCUUAAAACCUUUAGAGUUCUCCUCAGUGGGGAACUUCUUACCCAGGAUCUCCAAAACCUUCACGUUAAUUAAAGACACCAUCAAGACAAAUUCAAACAUGACUGACUUUUUUUUUUUUUUUUCAGAGCACACCUUCAAUACUGUAUCUAGUGGGUUUCCCGAGUCGGGCCGCACGACGAGCGGAGCGUCGGCGCUGCGCUUCUCGAUGAGCCCGCGAAGGUCUUCGCCCCAGAUCUUCUCGCAGGCGUUGUAGAUGUCGUAGCUGUCACUGACGAUGGAGACGGGCACGCCGGGGAACUGCUUGAUGAUGUGCUCAAAGGCGUCUUUCUCGUGGUCCUUGCCCCACGCGGUGAUGGUGCUGUGGUGAGACAAAAAUACAGAGGGAAAGCAGACAUCACCAGCGACAGCCAAUCAGGAAUCUUCCCCUCCAGCCAAUCGCAGCCCAUCGAGACACAAGGCGAGGGGAGCGGGGACACGCAGCAGAUGUCGCGGGAUUACGUCAAAGAAAGAAGUCAGUGACUUCUGUGGCGGGAUGAAGCGUGCGACACUUGGAGGACGACAGAUAUUCCACAGCAUUUCUCAUGACAAAACAUUUGCAUGGUACAAUUACAAUUAGAUUGGAAUAAAUAAAUACAGGAGGUGUGUUUACCUGCUUUGUUUUGACACACCUAAUAAUUACCCCAGCAUGAAAUUCCCUCACCGAGAGAGGAAUAACUUUGAGGCCGACGGCGAAGGGGAGAAUGUCAAAAAAGAACACGUACCAGAGUGGAACCUCCUUGUUGACAAUGAUACAGCUAAUUUUAUCAUCAUGCGCGUGUGUUUGCGUGGUUGUUGAUCUGUGUAUUUAUACUAGCUGUGAGGAUGUGUGUGUGUGUGUGUGUGUGUGUGUGUGUGUGUGUGUGUGUGUGUGUGUGUGUGUGUGUGUGUGUGUGUGUGAGAAUCUCCACCACUGAAAGAAAAAAAAUACCCUAAUGGUAAGUCAUAGUCAUGAGAUAAAAAGUCGAAAUUAUGAGAUAAAAAUUCUAAAUUACAAGAAAAAGUCAUAAUUAUGCGAUAGGAAAGUCAUGGUCGCCUUCGUCACAUGGCACAUGCGCAGUUUUUAUCUCAGAAUUAGGACUUUUUAUCUCAUUAUUUCAACUGUUUAUCUCUUAAUGAUCAGUUUUUAAAUCUUGUUAUUUUGAGUUUUUAUCUUAUAAUUACGACGUUAUUUCAUAAUUGCGACUUUUUUUUUUUGUUUUAUUUACACUUGGCUGUAGUGUUGUUUAAUGCUGGCUGAUCAGUUUGCUUCUUACCGCUUUUACAACACUGGUUGUGUUGCUGCGGUGUUGUGCAAUACGUUUGUUGAUAAAUGACCAUGGAGUUAGAGCGCUAUGUUUUCUUUUGCACUCUCUCAUGCACUCCAAAUCAUGACGACAGGUUCAAAUGAACUUGUUGUAUA